UUCUCUCAGCUAGGAAAAUGUCCGGGACACUCACCAGGUGCAAAGUGCCCACCUUUCCUGCCCACCUUCACUCCCGCUGGGUAGCGGCGGAUCCUGGGGGAAACGUGGGCGGGGCUUGCCCUGUGGCAGUUACCGGAAGUGACGCGUCGCUAUCGCGAGAAGAAAGGCGCGCGAGCCUCCGCGCCCCGGAACCGGCCCUGGAACAGCGGUGGACUCCGAGGCCGCUCGCCCUCCCGCCCCAUGGAGCGGCCCCCGGGGCUGCGGCCGGGCGCGGGCGGGCCCUGGGAGAUGCGGGAGCGGCUGGGCGCCGGCGGCUUCGGGAACGUCUGCCUGUACCAGCAUCGGGUGAGGCGGCGCGCGGGGGAGCGGCGGCGGCGGCGGGGGCAAGUGUGAGCGUCUGUGGAACCCCGCGGCUGUCAGUUUGUGAAAGGUUGUCUGAACUUGAUCUCAAAAUAGCAAUUAAGUCAUGUCGCCUAGAGCUGAGUACCAAAAACAGAGAACGGUGGUGCCAUGAAAUCCAGAUCAUGAAAAAGUUGAACCACUCCAAUGUUGUAAAGGCCUGUGAUGUUCCCGAGGAACUAAAUUUUCUGAUUAACGACGUACCUCUUCUAGCAAUGGAAUACUGUUCUGGAGGAGACCUCCGGAAGCUGCUCAACAAACCAGAAAAUUGCUGUGGACUUAAAGAAAGCCAGAUACUUUCUUUACUGAGCGAUAUAGGGUCUGGGAUCCGAUAUUUGCAUGAAAACAAAAUUAUACAUCGUGAUUUAAAACCUGAAAACAUAGUUCUUCAGGAUGUUGGUGGAAAGAUUAUACAUAAAAUAAUUGAUCUGGGAUAUGCCAAAGAUGUUGAUCAAGGAAGUCUGUGUACAUCUUUUGUGGGAACAUUGCAAUAUUUGGCCCCAGAGCUCUUUGAGAAUAAACCUUAUACAGCUACUGUUGAUUAUUGGAGCUUUGGGACAAUGGUAUUUGAGUGUAUUGCUGGAUAUAGGCCUUUUUUACAUCAUCUGCAGCCAUUUACUUGGCAUGAGAAGAUUAAGAAGAAGGAUCCAAAGUGUAUAUUUGCAUGUGAAGAGAUGACAGGAGAAGUUCGGUUCAGUAGUCAUUUACCUCAACCAAAUAGCCUUUGUAGUUUAAUAGUAGAACCCAUGGAGAAUUGGCUCCAGUUGAUGCUGAAUUGGGAUCCUCAACAGAGAGGAGGACCUAUUGAGCUACCUUUGAAGCAGCCAAGAUGUUUUGUAUUAAUGGAUCACAUUCUGAAUUUGAAGAUAGUACACAUCUUAAAUAUGACUUCUGCAAAGAUAAUUUCUUUUCUGUUACCACCUGAUGAAAGUCUUCAUUCACUGCAGUCUCGUAUUGAGCGUGAAACUGGGAUAAAUACUGCUUCUCAAGAGCUUCUUUCAGAGACGGGAAUUUCUCUUGAUCCGAGGAAACCAGCCUCUCAAUGUGUUCUAGAUGGAGUAAGAGGCUGUGAUAGCUAUAUGGUUUAUUUGUUUGAUAAAAGUAAAACUGUAUAUGAAGGGCCAUUUGCUUCCAGAAGUUUAUCUGACUCUGUAAAUUACAUUGUACAGGACAGCAAAAUACAGCUUCCAAUUAUACAGCUGCGUAAAGUAUGGGCUGAAGCAGUGCACUACGUGUCUGGGCUAAAAGAGGACUACAGCAGGCUCUUUCAGGGACAGAGAGCGGCAAUGUUAAGUCUUCUUAGAUAUAAUACUAACUUGACAAAAAUGAAGAACGCUUUGAUCUCAGCAUCUCAGCAACUGAAAGCUAAACUGGAGUUUUUUCACAAAAGCAUUCAGCUUGACUUGGAAAGAUACAGUGAACAGAUGACUUAUGGGAUAUCCUCAGAAAAAAUGUUAAAAGCAUGGAAAGAAAUGGAAGAAAAGGCUAUCCACUAUGCUGAGGUAGGUGUCAUCGGAUACCUGGAGGAUCAGAUCAUGUGUCUGCACACUGAAAUCAUGGAACUCCAGAAAAGCCCUUAUGGAAGACGUCAGGGAGAUUUAAUGGAAUCUCUGGAGCAGCGCGCCGUCGAUCUGUAUAAGCAGUUAAAGCACAGACCUCCAGAUCACUCCUACAGUGACAGCACGGAGAUGGUGAAGAUCAUUGUGCAUACUGUGCAGAGUCAGGACCGGGUUCUGAAGGAGCUGUUUGGUCAUCUGAGCAAGUUGUUGGGCUGUAAGCAGAAGAUUAUCGAUCUACUGCCCGAGGUGGAAAUGGCCCUCAGUAACAUCAAAGAAGCUGACAAUACUGUCAUGUUUAUGCAGGGGAAGAGGCAGAAAGAAAUAUGGCAUCUCCUUAAAAUUGCCUGUACACAGAGUUCAGCUCGGUCCCUUGUAGGGUCCAGUCUAGAUGGUACAGUAACUACCCCUCAGGCAUCAGCAUGGCUGCCCCCGACUUCAGCAGAACGUGGACAUCCUCUGUCAUGUGUGGUAACUCCUCAAAAUGGCAUAAGAUGUGCCGUAUCCAGAGCCAGUGGCUCUUUGCUAGCUUGUGUAUUGUCGCUUUUCUCGCAACUCAUGGAGACCUCUACAGCACCAGCAUUUCCUGGAAGCUCUGCCCAUAAUUAGUUUUGCAGAAGUGCAGCCAUGUUACAUCACUACUCAGGAGGUCAUGCAGUUUGCAUAUUCUGUACUCUACUUAUAUGAGAGAAAAGCACAUAGAGGAAGGCAAGCUGAUAACAGGGAGACUUUGGCACAAAUCAUAGAAGAAAAUGUGAACUGUCUUGGCCAUUUAAGCACUAUUAUUCAUGAAGUGAAUGAGGAGCAGAGCAGUAGAAUGAUGAAUCUUGAUUGGAGUUGGAUAACAGAAUGACUUACCACUUAUUUGCUGUGCCCAAACCAAUGGAAGUUGUUGCUGCACAUGGUCGAAAUUUGUUUUCUCCCAUGAAACCAUUCUUCAAACACCAUUCAAUGGAAGAAAUGGCUGUGAUCAAAAACUACAUAUGGUUUUACAAAGGCUAUAUUUUGGUUUUGGGUAAUUUUAACCCCUGAACAGAUAUAAUUUUAUGUUGGUGAACUUGUUUAAAAACUACAACUAGUUAGGUGCAUCAUUGCAGUCUAUUUGUUUUUAAACUUUGUAAAACAUUACUUAUUUAACUGACUAAAAAUACCCUUUAACUUUUGGACAUAAGGCUAAAAAUAGUAUGUACAGAAAAGAAAAACCUCAAUUAAUAUGUUCCAAGUACACACUGUCUGCAUAUAUUUCUGUAGCAAAGAUUGCUUACAAGUAAAAUUGUACUUCUUGAAGAAAAAACCCUACCUCCUUGUGUUGCACUCAACAGUGCUCUUUCUGGCAUCGUAAGGAGCUGGGUCAAUCCCAUUUUUCAAUUUUAUUACACAUUGGACAGUGCAUCUGUGCCUUUAAUAUCAAUGGACUGUCCUAAGUGUGCUAUGUGUAUAUGUAUUUAAGAUGUACAUUUAGUAAUAUCAAAGAAGAAAUGUUAAUUUAUAAUGUGUUUGAAAAUGUGUUUUUUUCAUUUGUAAAAAUGAGUCAUUUGUUUUAGGAAUCUUACAUGUCUUGUCAUACCAAUAUAAAGGUCUGCACUCCCUUAUCUGUAAAUCUAAAAUCCAAAAAGCUCUGAAAACAAGGUUUUUCAUAAGCUUGGUGACAAAACUCAUUUGCUUUCAAAUCUAACUUGAACUGACAAUUGAAUCAACUUAUCCCAUCUAGUGUGAAUCUUCACUUAUUUUGCUGUAAAAUUAUUAACAUGUUUGAUUAUUUGGUGGGGAGGCUGCUGCCAUAGACCCUGCUGGGUGUUUAUGUAAUAUGGUAUAUGCAUUGAAUUUCCUUUCUAAAAUCUGAAAAUGUCAUAAUUCUGAAACAUCUGGCUGUAACGAUUUCAGAUAAAGAAUUGUGGAUCUAUUAUCUGUUAGAUAAUUUAGAAGAUACUUGUUUUUUAAAAAAUGUGAAAUGCUUUUGUAUUAUAGUUUUUCACUUUGUGUAUUAAAUGAUUUUUAAAUUA